rnacentral:rRNA from 1 species
UACGUAGGGUGCAAGCGUUGUCCGGAAUUAUUGGGCGUAAAGAGCUCGUAGGCGGUCUGUCGCGUCGGUCGUGAAAUCCUGGGGCUCAACCUCAGAAUUGCCUCCGAUACUGGCAGUCUCGAGUGCGGGAGAGGUGAGUGGAAUUCCCAGUGUAGAGGUGAAAUUCGUAGAUAUUGGGAAGAACACCAGUGGCGAAGGCGGCUCACUGGCCCGUAACUGACGCUGAGGUGCGAAAGCGUGGGGAGCAAACAGG